GAUGAACGCUGGCGGCGUGCUUAACACAUGCAGGUCGAACGGAAAGGCCCAAGCUUGCUUGGGUACUCGAGUGGCGAACGGGUGAGUAACACGUGGGUGAUCUGCCCUGCACUUCGGGGUAAGCCUGGGAAACUGGGUCUAAUACCGGAUAGGACGAUGGUUUGGAUGCCAUUGUGGAAAGUUUUUUCGGUGUGGGAUGAGCUCGCGGCCUAUCAGCUUGUUGGUGGGGUAAUGGCCUACCAAGGCGUCGACGGGUAGCCGGCCUGAGAGGGUGUACGGCCACAUUGGGACUGAGAUACGGCCCAGACUCCUACGGGAGGCAGCAGUGGGGAAUAUUGCACAAUGGGCGCAAGCCUGAGGCAGCGACGCCGCGUGGGGGAUGACGGCCUUCGGGUUGUAAACUCCUUUCGCUAGGGACGAAGCGUUUUUGUGACGGUACCUGGAGAAGAAGCACCGGCUAACUACGUG
rnacentral:rRNA from 1 species